GCUGGCGACAAUAGCAAGAGUGAACCACCUGAUCCCUUCCCGAACUCAGAAGUGAAACCU
rnacentral:rRNA from 2 species